UAAGGAAUAUUGGACAAUGGAGGCAACUCUGAUCCAGCCAUGCCGCGUGAAGGAAUAAGGCCCUAUGGGUUGUAAACUUCUUUUAGACGGGACAAAACCCCUUUACGUGUAAAGGGUUGAUGGUACUGUCAGAAUAAGCAUCGGCUAACUUCGUGCCAGCAGCCGCGGUAAUACGAAGGAUGCAACCGUUAUCCGGAAUUAUUGGGUUUAAAGGGUGCGUAGGCGGACUAAUAAGUCAGUGGUGAAAGCCUGCAGCUUAACUGCAGAAUUGACAUUGAUACUGUUAGUCUUGAGUACAGUUGAGGUAGGCGGAAUGUGUCAUGUAGCGGUGAAAUGCUUAGAUAUGACACAGAACACCGAUUGCGAAGGCAGCUUGCUAAGCUGUAACUGACGCUGAGGCACGAAAGCGUGGGGAGCAAACA
rnacentral:rRNA from 1 species